rnacentral:rRNA from 1 species
UACGUAGGGGGCAAGCGUUGUCCGGAAUCAUUGGGCGUAAAGCGCGUGUAGGCGGUUCAGUAAGUCUGCUGUGAAAGUCCAGGGCUCAACCCUGGGAUGCCGGUGGAUACUGCUGGACUAGAGUGCGGAAGAGGCGAGUGGAAUUCCCGGUGUAGCGGUGAAAUGCGCAGAUAUCGGGAAGAACACCCGUGGCGAAGGCGGCUCUCUGGGACGGUACUGACGCUGAGACGCGAAAGCGUGGGGAGCGAACAGG